GACGAACGCUGGCGGCGUGCCUAAUACAUGCAAGUAGAACGCUGAAGGAGGAGCUUGCUUCUCUGGAUGAGUUGCGAACGGGUGAGUAACGCGUAGGUAACCUGCCUGGUAGCGGGGGAUAACUAUUGGAAACGAUAGCUAAUACCGCAUAAGAGUAGAUGUUGCAUGACAUUUGCUUAAAAGGUGCAAUUGCAUCACUACCAGAUGGACCUGCGUUGUAUUAGCUAGUUGGUGGGGUAACGGCUCACCAAGGCGACGAUACAUAGCCGACCUGAGAGGGUGAUCGGCCACACUGGGACUGAGACACGGCCCAGACUCCUACGGGAGGCAGCAGUAGGGAAUCUUCGGCAAUGGACGGAAGUCUGACCGAGCAACGCCGCGUGAGUGAAGAAGGUUUUCGGAUCGUAAAGCUCUGUUGUAAGAGAAGAACGAGUGUGAGAGUGGAAAGUUCACACUGUGACGGUAUCUUACCAGAAAGGGACGGCUAACUACGGG
rnacentral:rRNA from 1 species